rnacentral:rRNA from 1 species
UACGGAGGGUGCGAGCGUUGUCCGGAAUCACUGGGCGUAAAGGGCGCGUAGGUGGCGCGAGUAGUCAACGGUGAAAGCCCGGGGCUCAACCCCGGGGUCGGCCGUCGAUACUCUCGUGCUUGAGCACUGUAGAGGCAGGUGGAAUUCCGGGUGUAGCGGUGGAAUGCGUAGAGAUCCGGAAGAACACCGGUGGCGAAGGCGGUCUGCUGGGCAGUGCUGGACACUGAGGCG